UACCCCAUGGCAAGGUCCGAGCGGGGUGAUGGUGCUUGCACUAUCACUUAGCGGCGGACGGGUGAGUAAUGCUUAGGAAUCUGCCUAUUAGUGGGGGACAACAUCUCGAAAGGGAUGCUAAUACCGCAUACGUCCUACGGGAGAAAGCAGGGGAUCACUUGUGACCUUGCGCUAAUAGAUGAGCCUAAGUCGGAUUAGCUAGUUGGUGGGGUAAAGGCCUACCAAGGCGACGAUCUGUAGCGGGUCUGAGAGGAUGAUCCGCCACACUGGGACUGAGACACGGCCCAGACUCCUACGGGAGGCAGCAGUGGGGAAUAUUGGACAAUGGGGGGAACCCUGAUCCAGCCAUGCCGCGUGUGUGAAGAAGGCCUUAUGGUUGUAAAGCACUUUAAGCGAGGAGGAGGCUCUUUUGGUUAAUACCCAAGAUGAGUGGACGUUACUCGCAGAAUAAGCACCGGCUAACUCUGUGCCAGCAGCCGCGGUAAUACAGAGGGUGCAAGCGUUAAUCGGAUUUACUGGGCGUAAAGCGCGCGUAGGCGGCCAAUUAAGUCAAAUGUGAAAUCCCCGAGCUUAACUUGGGAAUUGCAUUCGAUACUGGUUGGCUAGAGUGUGGGAGAGGAUGGUAGAAUUCCAGGUGUAGCGGUGAAAUGCGUAGAGAUCUGGAGGAAUACCGAUGGCGAAGGCAGCCAUCUGGCCUAACACUGACGCUGAGGUGCGAAAGCAUGGGGAGCAAACAGGAUUAGAUACCCUGGUAGUCCAUGCCGUAAACGAUGUCUACUAGCCGUUGGGGCCUUUGAGGCUUUAGUGGCGCAGCUAACGCGAUAAGUAGACCGCCUGGGGAGUACGGUCGCAAGACUAAAACUCAAAUGAAUUGACGGGGGCCCGCACAAGCGGUGGAGCAUGUGGUUUAAUUCGAUGCAACGCGAAGAACCCUUACCUGGCCUUGACAUAGUAGAAACUUUCCAGAGAUGGAUUGGUGCCUUCGGGAAUCUACAUACAGGUGCUGCAUGGCUGUCGUCAGCUCGUGUCGUGAGAUGUUGGGGUUAAGUCGGA
rnacentral:rRNA from 1 species